rnacentral:rRNA from 1 species
UGGGGAAUAUUGCACAAUGGACGAAAGUCUGAUGCAGCAACGCCGCGUGGAGGAUGACACAUUUCGGUGCGUAAACUCCUUUUAUAUAGGAAGAUAAUGACGGUACUAUAUGAAUAAGCACCGGCUAACUCCGUGCCAGCAGCCGCGGUAAUACGGAGGGUGACAGCGUUACUCGGAAUCACUGGGCGUAAAGAGCGUGUAGGCGGAUAUAUAAGUCAGAAGUGAAAUCCAAUAGAUUAACUAUUGAACUGCUUUUGAAACUGUAUAUCUAGAAUGUGGGAGAUGUAGAUGGAAUUGCUGGUGUAGGGGUAAAAUCCGUAGAGAUCAGAAGGAAUACCGAUUGCGAAGGCGAUCUACUGGAACAUUAUUGACGCUGAGACGCGAAAGCGUGGGGAGCAAACU